rnacentral:lncRNA from 1 species
ACAAUUCUCCGAGACUAUUACUUUAAUUACUAAGCUGAAGCUUGUUUUCUUCAGUUUUUCAUAGACCCACCUGCUUGUGGUGAUUAGAGCUGAGACAAAACUGAGCAUCGGAAUCUGAAGCUAGCGGGUUUAAUGUAAGUUCCAAUAAAUAAUUUUAGACAAUAGAUUGUAUUUUAGUUGAGUGAUUACUGAAUAAAUAGUUAUAUAAAAUGGUA